UCGCUCCUACCGAUUGAAUGAUCCGGUGAGUUCUCAGGACCGUGGUGCUCGGAGGUUCGCCUCGCUUGCGUCGUGGGAAUUUGUGCAAACCUUAUCAUUUAGAGGAAGGAG
rnacentral:rRNA from 1 species